rnacentral:rRNA from 1 species
GUGAGGAAUAUUGGACAAUGGGCGCAAGCCUGAUCCAGCCAUGCCGCGUGCAGGAAGACGCAUCUAUGGUGUGUAAACUGCUUUUGUACGGGAAGAAACACUCCCUCGUGAGGGAGCUUGACGGUACCGUAAGAAUAAGGAUCGGCUAACUCCGUGCCAGCAGCCGCGGUAAUACGGAGGAUCCAAGCGUUAUCCGGAAUCAUUGGGUUUAAAGGGUCCGUAGGCGGUUUAAUAAGUCAGUGGUGAAAGCCCAUCGCUCAACGAUGGAACGGCCAUUGAUACUGUUAGACUUGAAUUAUAAGGAAGUAACUAGAAUAUGUAGUGUAGCGGUGAAAUGCUUAGAUAUUACAUGGAAUACCAAUUGCGAAGGCAGGUUACUACUUGUGGAUUGACGCUGAUGGACGAAAGCGUGGGGAGCGAACAGGAUUAGAAACCCUAGUAGUCC